rnacentral:rRNA from 1 species
UACAGGGGGUGCAAACGUUGCUCGGAAUUAUUGGGCGUAAAGCGCGCGUAGGCGGCUACUUAAGUCGGAUGUGAAAGCCCCUGGCUCAACUGGGGAAGUGCACCCGAAACUGAGUAGCUUGAGUGCAAAAGAGGGCCGCGGAAUUCCCGGUGUAGCGGUGAAAUGCGUAGAUAUUGGGAGGAACACCAGUGGCGAAGGCGGGUCUCUGGGCCACUACUGACGCUGAGAAGCGAAAGCAUGGGGAGCGAACAGG